rnacentral:ncRNA from 1 species
GGCUCUCUGGAGAGCGAAAGCACCGAAGGAGCAAUCCUCUUUAGUUUAGAGGGGAAACUCUCAGGUUAUAAAACAGAGUAGA